rnacentral:rRNA from 2 species
GCAGCCUGAUCCAGCCAUACCGCGUGGGUGAAGAAGGCCUUCGGGUUGUAAAGCCCUUUUGUUGGGAAAGAAAAGCAGUCGGCUAAUACCCGGUUGUUCUGACGGUACCCAAAGAAUAAGCACCGGCUAACUUCGUGCCAGCAGCCGCGGUAAUACGAAGGGUGCAAGCGUUACUCGGAAUUACUGGGCGUAAAGCGUGCGUAGGUGGUUGUUUAAGUCUGUUGUGAAAGCCCUGGGCUCAACCUGGGAAUUGCAGUGGAUACUGGGCGACUAGAGUGUGGUAGAGGGUAGUGGAAUUCCCGGUGUAGCAGUGAAAUGCGUAGAGAUCGGGAGGAACAUCCAUGGCGAAGGCAGCUACCUGGACCAACACUGACACUGAGGCACGAAAGCGUGGGGAGCAAACAGGAUUAGAUACCCUGGUAGUCCACGCCCUAAACGAUGCGAACUGGAUGUUGGGUGCAAUUUGGCACGCAGUAUCGAAGCUAACGCGUUAAGUUCGCCGCCUGGGGAGUACGGUCGCAAGACUGAAACUCAAAGGAAUUGACGGGGGCCCGCACAAGCGGUGGAGUAUGUGGUUUAAUUCGAUGCAACGCGAAGAACCUUACCUGGUCUUGACAUGUCGAGAACUUUCCAGA